UACGUAGGGUGCAAGCGUUGUCCGGAAUUAUUGGGCGUAAAGAGCUCGUAGGCGGUCAGUCGCGUCUGCUGUGAAAACUCGGGGCUUAACUCCGGGCCUGCAGUGGGUACGGGCUGACUAGAGUGCGGGUAGGGGAGACUGGAAUUCCUGGUGUAGCGGUGAAAUGCGCAGAUAUCGGGAGGAACACCCGUGGCGAAGGCGGCCAGCUGGGAUACACCUGACGCUGAGACACGAAGGCGUGGGGAGCGAACGGG
rnacentral:rRNA from 1 species